rnacentral:rRNA from 1 species
UACGUAGGUGGCAAGCGUUGUCCGGAUUUAUUGGGCGUAAAGCGAGCGCAGGCGGUUUCUUAAGUCUGAUGUGAAAGCCCCCGGCUUAACCGGGGAGGGUCAUUGGAAACUGAGGAACUUGAGUGCAGAAGAGGAGAGUGGAAUUUCAUGUGUAGCGGUGAAAUGCGUAGAUAUAUGGAGGAACACCAGUGGCGAAGGCGACUCUUUGGUCUGUAACUGACGCUGAGGCUCGAAAGCGUGGGGAGCAAACAGG